UGGGGAAUAUUGGACAAUGGGCGAAAGCCUGAUCCAGCAAUGCCGCGUGAGUGAAGAAGGCCUUCGGGUUGUAAAGCUCUUUUACCCGGGAAGAUAAUGACUGUACCGGGAGAAUAAGCCCCGGCUAACUCCGUGCCAGCAGCCGCGGUAAUACGGAGGGGGCUAGCGUUGUUCGGAAUUACUGGGCGUAAAGCGCACGUAGGCGGCUUUACAAGUCAGGGGUGAAAGCCCGCGGCUCAACCGCGGAAUUGCCCUUGAGACUGUAUCGCUUGAACACGGGAGAGGUGAGUGGAAUUCCGAGUGUAGAGGUGAAAUUCGUAGAUAUUCGGAAGAACACCAGUGGCGAAGGCGGCUCACUGGACCGUUGUUGACGCUGAGGUGCGAAAGCGUGGGGAGCAAAC
rnacentral:rRNA from 1 species